AGAGUUUGAUCAUGGCUCAGGACGAACGCUGGCGGCGUGCCUAAUACAUGCAAGUCGAGCGGAUCUCUAGGAGCUUGCUCCUGUUGAUUAGCGGCGGACGGGUGAGUAACACGUGGGCAACCUGCCUGUAAGUCUGGGAUAACACCGGGAAACCGGUGCUAAUACCGGAUAAUCCUUUUCCUCUCAUGAGGAAAAGCUGAAAGUCGGUUUCGGCUGACACUUACAGAUGGGCCCGCGGCGCAUUAGCUAGUUGGUGAGGUAACGGCUCACCAAGGCGACGAUGCGUAGCCGACCUGAGAGGGUGAUCGGCCACACUGGGACUGAGACACGGCCCAGACUCCUACGGGAGGCAGCAGUAGGGAAUCUUCCACAAUGGACGAAAGUCUGAUGGAGCAACGCCGCGUGAGCGAUGAAGGCCUUCGGGUCGUAAAGCUCUGUUGUUAGGGAAGAACAAGUACCGGAGUAACUGCCGGUACCUUGACGGUACCUAACCAGAAAGCCACGGCUAACUACGUGCCAGCAGCCGCGGUAAUACGUAGGUGGCAAGCGUUGUCCGGAAUUAUUGGGCGUAAAGCGCGCGCAGGCGGUCCUUUAAGUCUGAUGUGAAAGCCCACGGCUCAACCGUGGAGGGUCAUUGGAAACUGGGGGACUUGAGUGCAGAAGAGGAAAGCGGAAUUCCACGUGUAGCGGUGAAGUGCGUAGAGAUGUGGAGGAACACCAGUGGCGAAAGCGGCUUUCUGGUCUGUAACUGACGCUGAGGCGCGAAAGCGUGGGGAGCAAACAGGAUUAGAUACCCUGGUAGUCCACGCCGUAAACGAUGAGUGCUAAGUGUUAGGGGGUUUCCGCCCCUUAGUGCUGCAGCUAACGCAUUAAGCACUCCGCCUGGGGGAGUACGGCCGCAA
rnacentral:rRNA from 1 species